rnacentral:lncRNA from 1 species
CCGAGCCCGAGGUGGCCAAGCCUUGCGUGUGACUGUGAACCAGUGCCUGCCGCAGGCCCCGCCCUCAACCUCGUCCUCCAUCGCGUGCUGUGGGGCCUGGGGAGAUGACUGAAUGGCUAGGUGCCUCAGUUUCCCCACCUGUAAACCAGUGUCGGCUGCACGUGGUUGUGAUGAAGACUGAGUGUCGAUAUGAAAAGCACUUGGACAAGUCCGGUCACAGGAAAAUGCGGUGCUGCGGGAGGGGCCACACUUGGAGGAGCUGGAGUGCUGGGGACGCCCACCCUGAGAAUGGACCGCAGUACCAGCCUGCUGUCACCCCACCAACUGGAACCUCACAGAAAAAGCGCAUGUCCUGGCCAAGGGUGAGGAGGAGCAAAGGGCUGGGGACCAGGUAGGGAGGAGGAGUCCCCAGGAGUACUGGCCCAGCUACUGGGUGCAGGAAGUCCUGGCAGGCUAGCCAGGACCUACCAACCAAAAGCCCCACCGGGAAGGACCCCACUGGGGCUCAGGAGCUGGAUGCCAGGUCACCCGGCAGGCCCCAAGCUCACCAGCCCUCUGAACUCAGGCAUCUUGGUCAGGUGGGGACUGUAGCAGUGGAGACGACUGAGUGAGGUGUCCUGUGGGGCACCUGUGUGGCUACACACAGCAGGUGCUGGGCAGGCCUUAGCAGCUCUCACUAGGGCAGGACUACUCCUGGGGUCAGCCAAGGAGGAGCAGCGUGUAGAAGGCCUCCAGGACCCCUUCCAGCUCUGGACAACCUCCCUAAGGGGCAGAAAGGAGCCACAGAAAGGGAAGGAAGGGGAUGGAAUGCCCCCGGGGGAGGAAAGCCUGGCGGGAAGAGCGGUAAGUUCAGGAGUCUGGGAAGAGAGGCAGAAGGUUCCACCCAGCCCUGCCCUUGGGGCUGCUGAGCCUGGACAACCCUGCCACGUGAGUGGCCUCCUCACCUGCAGAGCGGGAUGGAGUGGGGGGCUGCAGAGCGGGAGGGAGUUGGGGGGCUG